rnacentral:rRNA from 1 species
GGUAGAGUAGCAAUACUUGAGAGUGGCGAACGGGUGAGUAAUAUAUCGGAACGUGCCCAGUCGUGGGGGAUAACGUAGAGAAAUUUACGCUAAUACCGCAUACGAUCUAAGGAUGAAAGCGGGGGACUCGCAAGAGCCUCGCGCGAUUGGAGCGGCUGAUAUCAGAUUAGGUUGUUGGUGAGGUAAAAGCUCACCAAGCCGACGAUCUGUAGCUGGUUUGAGAGAACGACCAGCCACACUGGGACUGAGACACGGCCCAGACUCCUACGGGAGGCAGCAGUGGGGAAUUUUGGACAAUGGGCGAAAGCCUGAUCCAGCAAUGCCGCGUGUGGGAAGAAGGCCUUCGGGUUGUAAACCACUUUUGUACGGAACGAAACGGUCUGCCUUAAUACGGUGGGCUAAUGACGGUACCGUAAGAAUAAGCACCGGCUAACUACGUGCCAGCAGCCGCGGUAAUACGUAGGGUGCGAGCGUUAAUCGGAAUUACUGGGCGUAAAGCGUGCGCAGGCGGUUAUAUAAGACAGUUGUGAAAUCCCCGGGCUCAACCUGGGAAUUGCAUCUGUGACUGUAUAGCUAGAGUACGGUAGAGGGGGAUGGAAUUCCGCGUGUAGCAGUGAAAUGCGUAGAUAUGCGGAGGAACACCGAUGGCGAA